rnacentral:rRNA from 1 species
GGCCUUGUACACACCGCCCGUCACACCAUGGGAGUGGGCUGCAAAAGAAGUGGGUAGUUUAACCUUCGGGAGGACGCUCACCACUUUGUGGUUCAUGACUGGGGUGAAGUCGUAACAAGGUAGCCCUAGGGGAACCUGGGGCUGGAUCACCUCCUUAUACGAAGAUA